rnacentral:rRNA from 1 species
UACGUAGGGUGCAGGCGUUAAUCGGAAUUACUGGGCGUAAAGCGUGCGCAGGCGGUUUGCUAAGACAGGUGUGAAAUCCCCGGGCUUAACCUGGGAACUGCGCUUGUAACUGGCAAGCUAGAGUGUGGCAGAGGGGGGUGGAAUUCCACGUGUAGCAGUGAAAUGCGUAGAUAUGUGGAGGAACACCGAUGGCGAAGGCAGCCCCCUGGGAUGUGACUGACGCUCAUGUACGAAAGCGUGGGGAGCAAACAGG